UACAGAGGGGGCAAGCGUUAUUCGGAAUUAUUGGGCGUAAAGGGCGCGUAGGCGGCUUUUCAAGUGACAGGUGAAAUCCCUCGGCUUAACCGAGGAACUGCCUGUCAGACUGGAAGGCUUGAGACCGGGAGAGGUGAGUGGAAUUCCCAGUGUAGCGGUGAAAUGCGUAGAUAUUGGGAAGAACACCGAUGGCGAAGGCAGCCAUCUGGACCGACACUGACGCUGAGGAGCGAAAGCGUGGGUAGCGAACAGG
rnacentral:rRNA from 1 species